rnacentral:rRNA from 1 species
UGGGGAAUUUUGCGCAAUGGGCUAACGCCUGACGCAGCAACGCCGCGUGGAGGAUGAAGGUCUUUGGAUUGUAAACUCCUGUCAGCGGGGAAAAAGCAACCGUACCUCAUACGUACGGAAGUUGAUUGUACCCGCAGAGGAAGCCCCGGCUAACUCUGUGCCAGCAGCCGCGGUAAUACAGAGGGGGCAAGCGUUAUUCGGAAUUAUUGGGCGUAAAGGGCGCGUAGGCGGCCUGGCAAGUGGAAGGUGAAAUCCCUCGGCUCAACUGAGGAACUGCCCUCCAAACUGUUUGGCUUGAGACCGGGAGAGGUGAGUGGAAUUCCCAGUGUAGCGGUGAAAUGCGUAGAUAUUGGGAGGAACACCAGUGGCGAAGGCGGCUCACUGGACCGGUACUGACGCUGAUGCGCGAAAGCGUGGGGAGCAAACGGGAUUAGAUACCCCGGUAGUCCACGCCGUAAACGAUGAGUGCUUGGUGUAGCGGGUAUCGACCCCUGCUGUGCCGAAGUCAACACAUUAAGCACUCCGCCUGGGGAGUACGGUCGCAAGGCUGA